rnacentral:rRNA from 11 species
UCUAUAUGAAGAUAUUUAUAGUCUGGCCUGCUCCCUGACUAUAAAGUUAAAGAGCCGCGGUAAUUUGACCGUGCAAAGGUAGCAUAAUCAUUAGUUUNUUAAUUGGGAACUUGUAUGAAAGGUCUGACAAAGAAAAAGCUGUCUUUAUUAUGAAAGUUGAAUUUAACUUUUAAGUGAAAAGGCUUAAAUAAUUUAGAGGGACGAUAAGACCCUAUAAAGCUUUAUAUAAAAAAAUAAUUAAAAUUAAAUUUAUAAUAAAGAUUUAAAUUAAUUAUUAUAUUUUAUUGGGGUGAUAAUGAUAAAAAUAAUAUUAACUGUUGAACAAAUAUACAUAAAUAAAAGAGUUAAGUUAGUUAAUGAUCCUUAUUUAAAGAUUAAAAGAUUAAGUUACUUUAGGGAUAACAGCGUAAUUUUUCUUGAGAGUUCAUAUCGAAAGAAAAGAUUUCGACCUCGAUGUUGAAUUAAGAUAUCUAUGUAAAGCAGU